rnacentral:lncRNA from 1 species
AUGUCUGGGAGCUUCUACUUCGUAAUUGUUGGCCACCAUGAUAAUCCAGUUUUUGAAAUGGAAUUUUUGCCACCUGGGAAAGCAGAAUCCAAAGAUGAUCACCGUCAUCUGAACCAGUUUAUAGCUCAUGCUGCUCUUGACCUUGUGGACGAAAAUAUGUGGCUUUCGAACAACAUGUACUUAAAAACGGUGGACAAAUUUAAUGAGUGAAAGACCACGCCUUAACUCUCUGCACAUAUGAGAUUUAUUAUGCUUCAUGAUGUGAGGCAAGAAGAUGGGAUAAAGAACUUCUUUACUGAUGUCUAUGAUCUGUAUAUAAAGUUUGCAAUGAAUCCAUUUUAUGAACCCAAUUCUCCCAUUCGAUCGAGUGCAUUCGACAGGAAAGUCCAAUUUCUUGGGAAGAAACACCUUUUAAGCUAA